GUGUGUGUGUGUGUGAUAGAGAGAAACUCGCGCUCUAUCUUUCCUUAUGUGUAUGUGCAGACAUCCUCGUACCUCACCGCUCCAAACUUAAUCCAGGAAAGGUGAACAUUCCUGCAUCAUAACUUGGACUGAA